UACAGGGGGUGCAAACGUUGCUCGGAAUCAUUGGGCGUAAAGCGCACGUAGGCGGUUCGUUAUGUCGGAUGUGAAAGCCCUUGGCUUAACCGAGGAAGUGCAUCCGAAACUGGCGAGCUAGAGUACUAAAGAGGAUCGCGGAAUUCCCGGUGUAGAGGUGAAAUUCGUAGAUAUCGGGAGGAACACCUGUGGCGAAAGCGGCUCACUGGACCACAACUGACGCUGAGGCGCGAAAGCUAGGGGAGCAAACAGG
rnacentral:rRNA from 1 species